UACGAAGGUCCCAAGCGUUAUCCGGAUUUAUUGGGUUUAAAGGGUGCGUAGGCGGUCUAUUAAGUCAGUGGUGAAAGCCCCAAGCUCAACUUGGGAACUGCCAUUGAUACUGAUGGACUUGAGUACAUUUGAGGUGGGCGGAAUGUGUCAUGUAGCGGUGAAAUGCAUAGAUAUGACAUAGAAUACCGAUUGCGAAGGCAGCUCACUAACCGAUCAUUGACGCUGAGGCACGAAAGCGUGGGGAUCAAACAGG
rnacentral:rRNA from 1 species